rnacentral:lncRNA from 1 species
GGAAAAGUCCUUCUUGUGGUGUUUCCCACAGCAGAGCAGCGCGAACGUGCUUUCUCACGGGACGGUUGUUCUCAGGGAGGAGAGGCAAAGACGGGCUGGACAGCGAGCGCUUUUGGCAGGACCGUGUUGCCAAUAAAGUCUUCGGGGAGAUCACGCUCUGUGAUAGGAAGAUGAGCAAAGUAAAUCGGUUCCAACUCCUCUAAAAGGAAUUGAAGAAGCCGUCUUGGGCUCAUCCCUUUGAUUGCCAAACCUUAAUGUGCAAUGUUUUAUUGGAGCAUUUAAGAUGGAGUGCUGGAGUGCCUCAUCUCUCUCUCUGCUCAAGUGCGUUACUUCCCUGUCCAGCUACCGAGGAAGAGAGAAAACGAAGUCAGAUGAAGCAUAACCUUUCCCUGCUGAGGAAGCUGCACCUGGUUUUUCUGGGCGAGAAGAGGCUCGCCUCCCUGUGUCCUUCAAAGCAGCCGGCCUCUCUUCGACAAGGAUACUUUGGGAAACAGCAAGUGCCAGACCAUUACGGAACUCCAUACAGUCAAGCACUGAGCAAGUCCCCAGUGCUUCUACCCUGGACCCAGACUGCCUAAGUUUCGUGUGGAAUUCUUCUGUGGAGCGGAGAAAACAAGGGAGCUGGAGGAUAGAAUUUUUAUCCAGAUGUCUAGAGGAAGAUUGACAUUGGAAAUUUAACUUGAAGCCUUGCCCCAAGGAAAUGCUGAAACUCAGGCUACAUCCUUAAGAGAACUGAAAAAUGAUUGUGCCAGCUUCUAACCAAACUGGCUACUGGUUGGUCCAGGAUUUCCCCUUUGCAUGUUGCUUACAGAAUUUAUUGCUGUACCAAUCAAAGGAUGGCUUGGUGACGAAAUUUGCCUGAAAAUGGAAAGCAGCCCUAGCAAUUCUCCCAAACAAACCCUCUGGUGGAGCCACCGCGCUAGGACAGCCACACUGUGCAAGCGGGAAGAAAGUCAGCUCUAGUUAAGUUGGAGUUUGUUUAUCCAGAGCUGGUCCGUAUGGCACCCCGCUUUGCAGAGCCAUUCUCGCUUUCUAAGACCAGGAGCACUGCUGCCCACAGAAGAGCUUGUGCCCUCUUUUAUCUAAGAGUGGCAUGAAGGAAAUGAAUCUGAACUUCAGUUUAACUUCCCCCUGCAACAGGUUUAAAGGCUAAAUUCUAUUUCUCUACCUUAGGCAGGCUUUGUAGCACCGCCAGCAUAAUAUGAAAUUUGCUUGUGAAAUAAAGACAAACAUGGGCUUUACA